CCAGUGAUAACCAGCUUCCUCAGUGCAAGCCUCGCUCUGUAGGCCGAGAUCUAGCAUGUACACACCCAAAUAUACAAGUGGAUGCACAUUCCCAGGACCCCUCCCACUUGGCCCACUGAGCAUAUAUUCAAUAUACAGGGAUUGGCCCCCCUCCUCUAUGGCCUUUGGCCUUUUAGAGAAGCCAAGAAACUCUUGUGAAGUGUGGUCUUAGGAAAGAAGGCCAUUGAAGGAACUGAGGCCAAGGCCGCCCUGUUGUGUUUUGUAGGACUUCGUGUUCUACGCUCCCCGCCUGAGAAUUAACAAGCGGAUUCUGCAGCUCUGCAUGGGGAACCACGAGCUGUACAUGCGCCGCAGGAAGCCCGACACCAUCGAGGUGCAGCAGAUGAAGGCCCAGGCUCGGGAGGAGAAGCACCAGAAGCAGCUGGAGCGACAACAGUUGGAAACCGAGAAGAAGAGGAGAGAAACUGUAGAGAGAGAAAAGGAACAGAUGCUCCGGGAGAAGGAAGAGCUGAUGCUUCGGCUGCAGGACUUUGAGCAGAAGACCAAGAGGGCAGAGAAAGAGCUCUCCGAGCAGAUUGAGAAGGCCCUCCAGCUGGAGGAAGAGAGGAGGCGAGCCCAGGAGGAGGCUGAACGUCUGGAGGCCGACCGCAUGGCCGCCCUGCGGGCCAAGGAAGAACUGGAGAGACAGGCACAGGAUCAGAUAAAGAGCCAGGAGCA
rnacentral:lncRNA from 1 species